rnacentral:rRNA from 1 species
UACGUAGGGUGCGAGCGUUAAUCGGAAUUACUGGGCGUAAAGCGUGCGCAGGCGGUUUCGUAAGACAGACGUGAAAUCCCCGGGCUCAACCUGGGAACUGCGUUUGUGACUGCGAGGCUAGAGUACGGCAGAGGGGGGUAGAAUUCCACGUGUAGCAGUGAAAUGCGUAGAGAUGUGGAGGAAUACCGAUGGCGAAGGCAGCCCCCUGGGUUAGUACUGACGCUCAUGCACGAAAGCGUGGGGAGCAAAC